rnacentral:rRNA from 1 species
UAUGGCGACCGGCGCACGGGUGAGUAACACGUAUCCAACCUGCCNNACUCGGGGAUAGCCUUUCGAAAGAAAGAUUAAUACCCGAUGGCAUAGUUCUUCCGCAUGGUAGAACUAUUAAAGAAUUUCGGUCAUCGAUGGGGAUGCGUUCCAUUAGCUUGUUGGCGGGGUAACGGCCCACCAAGGCAUCGAUGGAUAGGGGUUCUGAGAGGAAGGUCCCCCACAUUGGAACUGAGACACGGUCCAAACUCCUACGGGAGGCAGCAG